AGAUCAAUAAUGAGAACAGAAGCAUAACCACAACACCCUGUAGCCAGCCUUUCUGCAAAAACUGGACUACAUUCACUCAACCAGCAAGUUGAAGACAAGUGAGAUGCUGUGAUCCGCUGCCUGCUUUCCUACCUGGGAGAAUCAUCUCAGGGGCUCAUUGGAGACUACCAGGAUGUCAAGAGACUCGCUUAAAGACUGCUUCACCAAUUGUUGGGAAGAUCAUUGUACUGGGCAGUACUACAGCAGAGGAAGAUGCCAACAUAGAUGACCCCAUCAUUCUGUCUGAAAGGACUUUUUAAAUUUGUUUAUUGAGAAGUUUAACUCAAAUUAAAGCACUCAAUGAAAA